GCACAAGUGGGAGGAGCAGCAGAGGGAGUGGGGAAGCAGGCUCCCUGCUCAGCAGGGAGCCUGAUGCGGGACUCAAUCCCAGGAUCCUGAGAUCAUGACCUGAGCCCAAGGCAGAGGCUUAACCCAUUGAGCCACCCAGAUUUUUAUUUAUUCAUUUGAGAGAGAGAGAGCGAGCACAAGCAGCGGGGAGCAGCAGAGGGAGACGCAAAUUCUGCUGAGCUGGGAGUCUGAUCUGGAGUUCCAGCCUAGGACUUGGAGAUCACAACCUGAGCUGAAAACAGGUGCUUAACUGACAGAGUUACCCAGAAUACCAUGUUGAAGACAAAUUAUAAGAAACUUAAACUUUGAGAUUUUAAAAAAUGAAAGAAAAAUUAAAAUGAAGACAAGUUAGAAAAAGAGAUCAGAAAAAUUGCAGAGCUGCUGUAACAUGCUGGAUGAGGAGGCCAUGUUUUCAAAUGUUGCAAAGAAUUUAAGGGCAGAAAAACCCAAUUUGAUAAUGCAGUGUAAGGUUCUGAAGUUACUCUCCGUCUCGCUGAAGAAAUGACUGCGGGCACAUUGUUCUUAGCUGUCCAUUCCAUCCAUUGGGACACAAUGAAGGGGAGACGCUGACAUUCAAACAGACGAGCUGCAUAAAGCAGGCUAUGUACAAACUGGAAUUGGGGUCUCCAAUCAGAAAAGGUUUUUAUGUCUGUUCCCAUUGAGAACUUGGUUUAGACAAGCUCUGUUACAGGUCAGAAGAAAAUGUAAGAUGGGUUUUUCUACCCCAUCUGACAGCUUCAGUUCGUCAGAAAAGAGAGCUAAACACAGCUGUGAAGACAGAAGGCUGAGGCAGCAUUCUCUUAAUGACUUGGGACAACUCUGAACCACUGUUCACAAUGAUUCCAGUGAAUGCGGCAGCAGAAGUCCUAUGACUUCGGCAUGGAAACAGCAGCAGCCCUCAAGGAUUUCUGGAUUUUAUUUUACUUAUUUUUUAAAGAUUUUAUUUGUUUAUUUGCCAGAGAGAGAGAGAGCACAAGCAAGAGGAGUGGCGGGCAGAGGAAGAGAGAGAGGCAGACUUCCCACUGAGCAAGGAGCCCCAUGCCCCUGAGAUCAUGACCUGAGCUGAAGGCAGACUGAGCCACCCAGGCACCUCGGAUUUCUGUAUUUUAAAUGAAUGAACAAAAUGAUUUGUGAGGCUUGUCAAAAUAAAGGGCAAAAUAUCAACCUUCUUUGGGCUGGAGAGAGAAAGAGGAAAGGGUUAACUACCAGUGGGAGAUUUCCAAAGCCAAAGGUGCCUUAAUUUCUACAUAGCUUUUUUUUUUUUCUUUCCACUAAUUAUUAUAUUUAGCAAAGUUCUCUGUUUCUCACCGUUACUAAAUAUGGCAUUUAGAAUGACUGGCCCUUUUGAUGUUUCAUGAAUUAAAACUUCUAAGUUGUUAGAAGAUAAUUUUGUCUCUCUUAUUUAACAUCAUGAAAAAUGAUUGUUUUGAAGGUCUGAGAAAAAAAAAUGAUAUUACAAAAAGGUGGUCCCUCUACCUCACUUCAGUUUCCACUUGAAUUGCCUGAUUUCUUUUUCCCUUCCUCCCUCCCUUCCUCUUUGCUUCCUCUUUGACUUUCUUGCUUCCUUCUUUCUGUCCUCUUAUCCCCAAAUGUACAAAGCAUGCAAGGCACAA